rnacentral:lncRNA from 1 species
UCACCGAGAACACCAAGGACCCCAAGAUCACCUGUCAAACAUGGAUCCAACAAAGGUAGUCCAAUAAAGCAUGAGCGGCACUCGCAUACUGGAAGAGAUGGUCGACCAAAAAAAGGUAUAACUUCUCGUUUUUGUUUUGAUCAGACUAUGUCCUUAUUUUUUAUACAUGAUUGUUUGAUUCACUUGCUUUCUUAUGUUUCUUGUCUAGAUAAAGUAAUCUAUGGUGGCCAAGCCUGGCUAUGGACAUGCCCAUGAGUUAUUUGGUUAUGUUUUAUGUGAAAAAUGUGUUUUAUGUGAAAAAAGUGUUUUAAGAGUUCCAUAGAUGUAAUUCUUCUUUUUAGGCAGGCGUGCGCUUACUUCAUGGCUUUAAUGAAUUUCUUCUUGAAAUUAAUGGAUGUUUUGAAAUGUGAAAACUUAUUUGGUGGAGUCCAGUCACUAUUUUUGAGUUAUAGCUUGCAGAGCCGACUCAGGACCUGUGUGAUCGGCUAGGACCGGAUCUUGGUCAGGCUCGAGCCAGUAACUUGGAACUCGUCGCACCCUUUUUUGGCCCUCCUUUGUCAAUUUUUCGUUGAGUUGACCAACUCUUGUUCAGACUUGGGGUCGGGAUUCCAUGAAGUCCCUAGUGGAGUCUGGUUUCCUAAACACUGAGUUAUAUAUUACGUGAUUUAAUACUGUUUUAAUGUUAAAAUUAUCGUGUGUUUCCAAGUUUAUAGGAUUACUAAGCUGAUAACAAGUUAGGAAACAUCUAUCUAUAACCACCACAUACAAGUAAACUUAAUACAAGUUGAUUUCUAUUAAAUAAAGGAAAAUCAAGAUGCUUGGGCGAAUUCAGGAAAAAAUUAAAAUGCCCACUAGCACCUGCACUGCUGUAGUCCAACAAAGAAAGAUCUCCCUGGAAGAUUGAAGAAAUUCGUUAUUACAUUUGAUGAUUUCAAACUGUUUAUUUUAGGCAUAUACAACCAUCUUCCACUUGUCCCUGCAACUAUGCACAUUUUACAUUGAUACAUAAUUCAUGUGAUGUUGUGUUUACAAAAAUGCAUCUUUUAGAUUUACAGAGAACUUAAAAAAAAAGAAAGAAAGAAAGAAAAAGUAUAUCACUAGGAGGGUUUUCAGUCCUAUGACCCUAAUAGUUUGGAGAUCUCAACCCGGCGCUUUGAUUUGCAAGUUAAAGUCCUUUGUUACCUAUCAAAAAGGGAAAUCGGUUACAAUUACCGACGAAGUCCCAGCCCAUAUCUGGAUUUUCAUUUGUUCUUGUAUUAGUAACUGUAACUCAUAAUCAGAGAUCAUAGACUAUUGGUUAUGUUGAAAUUUUGUUAAUUUUCCAUGACUCUACAACCGUCUUUCAUCCUCGGAGAGAUGAUCGAAAAGGAAUCGAAACUUGGGCCAAAGAGAUUUGGAAAAACCAGAACUCCAGUGCAAACAACUCUCCAAUGGCUCUUUCCUAUUCUCAUUCCCCUCAGAAGGAGCUAUUCUCGCCCUGAGAACCACUCGCAACUUUUGGUUUCGAGGGACCUCAGUUCAUUUGUCCAGGUUGACCGCUAACUUGGGGGCCUUUGACCGGCAAAAGGUUUGGCUCACGGUCUCCUUUGAGCCAAACCUCUAUCCCUCUACACGCUUGGUGCCUUGACACCUUCAAGGCCAUUGGUAACUCUUGUGGGUUCUUUGCGGUUGUUCAUUAGAAGUCCAUGAAAAAUCUGCCUCUAGGCACUCUACUGCUCAUCGUUGACAUGCUUGAACCGAAUCACAAUCCUCCAUUCCGUUGCUGGAAUUCGCGUGAGCUUACUUCCAGGUCCUCCUUUCCUGGCCUUCUGGCUCACCGCCCGCUCUUAGGUUCAUCGCUUCGGGAAACAAUUCAAGACUGUCAACUACUCCCAUUAAUCAGGAGCAGUGGAAGCAUGUUGUCAAGAGAAGGCCAAGACGCGUACAGAGCCGAUGAAACAAUCGCCACCCCCUCCCAAAGGCUACCCACCUGCGCGCCACCCAGGUCUGCCUCCUCCACCCCACCACCCCCUCCCACACUACCAUCUCGCACCAUCCAAGGAGUCUCGCACUGUCCAAGGAGAUGUAGUGCCGAUUCCUUGAGCACGAGAACCCAUGCCCCUCGUUCCACUUACCUCGAUCAAUAUCGCUUACGCUGAUGCACUUCCCUUUGUCGGCUAGAGACACUCAACACCUGUCCCCCUCACUCACCUACCACCGCCACAUGUCAACAUACUUCGUCCUUCUAUCUCUCCUUCUCCCCUUCCCCCAAUACUCUUCAGGACAAUUCCCUUCUCCCUGUACUUCAACGCACCAUCCCACCCUCGCUCUCUGCCCAUGCCACCAGUCCUCGUGUCUUCUCAACACAAGCCACACCUACCUACACAGCCCAGCCUCGACAUUCCCACUUCAUCAUGCAUUUCCCCUGGCCUACCUCGGAGGUUACCCCACCGCAACAGCCACCCAACUUGCUUGAUCUUUUCCUCUCAUCUUGUUUUGCUGGACCCGGCCUUCGUCUCCAUCAUCAUCUUUGCUCAUAGAUUUCCUGGAAGAGGUAGAAGCAUCACCUGAAGGAGACACAACACCAUCUCCUUCCCCAUAGAAGGUGGACACUACACUGGCGGACAUAGAGGGUAUCCUGGUUGCUAAUUUAAUCUCAGCCCCCCAGGUUAUUAUAAGCUACACUGCAGAUCCCCUCAAUGAUGACCCUAUUAUCAUCUCUGUCCCCAUCCCUGCUGGCCUGCCUCCGCCCAACUUUAUCCUCCUCUCUCCACCACCUCCUCUUUCACAGAAUGCACCCUCACCCGUUAUCCUCUUGGGAUCUCCUUUUCUCACCCCUGCUUUUCCCCUACCCCCUUUUCUCACCACCCCAGUAAGCCCCUCUUCAUUUCUUCACCCUACUGAUGCCAUUGACACCAUUUGUCCCCCCUUUCUGCCACUCCUACCUUCGAUGCCAUUGACACCAUUUGUCCCCCCUUUCUGCCACUCCUACCUUCGAUGCCAUUGACACCAUUUGUCCCCCUUUCUGCCACUCCUACCUUCGCUCCUUCACCACCUGCCGCAUUGUUUAUCCCUGGGAAUACCCCUCCUCCAGCAGGCCCUUGCCCCAACCCUACUUUCUCUCCCUCUCUUGCAUCCCCAUCAACUCCCGACCUUCACAUACCCACACUCAACCCACCCCGGUCUAGUUUGGUUGAAAAAGGAACAACCCUUAUCCUCCCUCAUAUAUACUGGCAGAUUCAUCAAGGCUGAAAUUGCUUGUGGUAUUUUACAGGUUGUCUUCUAUGGGGCUGCCGGGUUUACCUUCUCUUGCAACUGUCUCGGCUUCAUCUUCUCACUCUCUUCUCCUGGGCUGUCGGGUUUACCUUCUCUUGCGAUCGUCUCGGCUUCAUCUUCUCACUCUCUUCUUCUCACUCUCUGCUCCUGUUUGUCGACACAAUAGGGGACCCUCUCUCGCCACUGUCAGUGAACUCAGACUACGUCAACGGCAUUCUGGACGUCAUGAAAGUAAUGGCCUUCCCCCAUUCAGGACAAGAUGCCCAAUUCCAUGAACACUUUUUGGCUGGUGUUCAGUCGCGUUUUUUGGGUAAGCAAGAAAGGAAGCCGAGAACUCACUCUCGUGGUCUUGGCAAGGACCAGAAAAAGUAGAUGCCCAAUUCCAUGAAUACUUCUUGGCUGGUGUUCAGUCGUGUUUUUUGGGUAAGCAAGAAAGGAAGCCGAGAACUUGGCAGUGAGAGAUCCAUGUUUCAAACAAACAGGCCCACAAUUUUGGCCCUCACUGAAACUAAGUCACCCCAUCCUACCCUAUUCCAAGUUAGGCAGGUAUGGGGACGCCAACCUUGUCAGUGGUCUCUUUACUUGCGGAAGGGGCAUCGGGUGGCAUUUGGGUCAUCUGGGACCCCACUGCUCAUUCCCUAACCUCCUCUCACAUUGCGAGUUUUUCGGUGACCUUACUUUUGUUAAGGAUAUCCGAUGGCUUGCUUUGGAAGUUCAUAGCCAUUUACGAGCCCAAUCAAGACUCGCUAAGGCACCGUCUUUGGGAUGAGCUCAACAUCGCUACCUCCCUCCCACACCCCAUUUGGUGCUUAGGAGGGGACCUCAAUGUCACAAGAUGGUCCUUCGAGAGGAAUUCUUCCUCUACGAUCACUCCAGCUAUGUCGGCCUUCUCAAACUUCGUUAGCCUUAACAACCUCCUUGACCUACCCACUGAAGGAUAACAAUAUACGUGGUCCAACCACUCCACCACCCCAUCCCUCUCUAGACUCGACAGGUUUUUGGUCUCUAUAAACUAGGACUCCUCCUUCCACGGGACCCACUCUUUAGCCUUACCCAAGCCCACCUCCAAUCAUUGUCCCCUCCUCCUGGACACCAACCUUGCUUAGAGAGGUGCAAAACCUUUUAGGUUCGAACUUGUUUGGUUGGAAGAACCCACCGUAGCCUCGCUAUUCCCUGUCUAGUGGCAAGAUUUGUCAGCCUUGGUCCAAGGCUAGGCUGGUUUCAGAAUUUAACGCAAACUUCAACUGCUCAAGACUUGCCUCAAAUCUUGGAGUACAAGCUUCCCGAGGUUCCUCGGCCCCCUUAAAAGAGCCACCCUUGAAGCCAUCCAUGCUCUCGACAUCACUGAAGAAUCCAGGAACUUACCAGAAUCAUAAUUCCUUCAAAGAAUCCAAGUAACAACUCUUUACCAAUCCCAACUGAAGCAAGAAGAAAUAUUCUGGCAUCAACGAUCCAGAAUAAAACGGUUGAAUGUUGGGGACCUCAACACAGGCUUCUUCUAGGGAACAGCCAACUGCAGGUGCAAAGAUAACACCAUCUCGCACCUAUUAGUGGAAGAUCACCUUAUAGACCAACCACUUAAUGUCGAACACUACAUCCUAGUCUACUUCAAAAACCUCUUCUCCACUCCGGCAGGGCCCAGAACUCCCAUGGGGGAUCUAUCUUUUUUGGUCUUACCACCUGAAAAAGCCUCCUGCCCCGAAAGACCAUUUUUCGAGCAUGAAAUCUUGUUUGCCCAGUUAGACUCUGACAGAGCUCUAGUGACUGACGGAUACCCCAUUGCCCUAUUCACACAAUAUUGGGAAGUCUUUCGACAUGAGUUUCUAGCCAUGUUCGAAGAAUUCUUUUCCAGGGGAGUUAUCCAUCGAGCGCUGAAUGCCACUUUUAUAACUCUCAUUCCCAAGGUUGAACGAGCAACCCACCUCAAAGACUUCCGACCUAUUCGUCUGGUCAAUUCUACUUAUAGAGUCGUAGCCAAGGCUUUAUGCUCCCUGACUUAAGUCGUAUCCUUGGUAAUCCCCCCCUCCCUCCCCCCUCAAAGUGCAUUAAUUAAAGAUCAUCAAAUCCUUGAUGAUGCUUUGGUGGCUCAUGAAUGCAUUUAUUCUAGACACCUUAAUAGGGAACGCAUAAUUUUCGUAAAGCUUGAUUGGAAGAAAGCUUACGAUCACGUGGAUUGGGACAUCCUUGAAGAAACCCAAUCUAGAAUGGGAUUCGGUUCGAGAUGGAGAUCUUGGAUGAAGGCCUGCUACUCUCAUCCACACUUCUCCAUUCUCGUCAAUGGUUCCCCUAAGAGAUUCUUUCCAUCUACCAGUGGCCUUCGUCAAGGAGACCCCCUCUCCCCUUUUCUCUUUACAAUCUUAGCCAAAGUUUUCAAUCUAUCUAUCUCAAGAAUGUAUUUGGUUGGCCUAUUAUAUAGGUUCAAAGUUGGUCACCAAGGGCUAACAGUCUCACAUCUCCAAUAUGCGGAUGACACCUUGGUUUUUUGCAAUGCUGAUUCAGAAGAUGUGGGAAAUCUAUUAUUGUUUCUUAGAUGUUUUGAGUUUGUAACGGGAUUCAAGGUUAAUUUUGACAAAACCAAAAUGCUGGGAUUAAUAUCGAUUAGAUCUCCCUCAACUCUUUCGCUGACAGUUGGGGAUGUGUGACAGAUACUCUUUUGUAGCCUACCUCUCUGCUUGGGAAAGCCUAAAAAGAGACCUUGGUCUCACAUAAUCGACAAGGUAAACCGUAGGUUAGCCGGAUGGAAAGGUCGAUUCCUCUCUCUGGGAGGCAAACUGGCCCUCAUUAAAGUCGCCCUUGCUAAUAUACCAGUUUACCCAAUGUCCUUCUUCCACAUGCCGGUAGUCGUUAGCGUAAGAUUAGAACAAUUGAUGAGAAGGUUUUUUUGAUAUGGGAAUGCCUCCUCCGACAAAUUUCAUCUUAUAUUCUGGGAUAUACUCUUCCUGUCCAAAAAAUUGGGGGGAUUAGGGAAAUCCUGGGAUAAACUCUUGUCUAUCCAAAAAAUUGGGGGGCUUAGGGAUAAAAAAUCUUAAGAAGCAAAAUGUGGCACUCAUAGGCAAAGGGAGCUAGCGCCUGGCCACCCAAAGGGACCAACUGUGGAACACUAUCCUUCAUCAUAAAUAUCGAAUACCCAUCAUAUCGCGAGUCCUGACUUCAAGCCCAACCAGAGAUCUUCUGGAAUAUGGCGAUCCAUUUGUGCUGCUCACCAUCACUUCCAGUCUCGCAUAAGGUUUUAUCUCAGACAAGGGGAAUCACAUCCUCUUCUGGUAAGACCUUUAGCUUGGACACACUCCCCUCAAGGACAUAUUCGCAGACCUGUAUUCUCUAUCUUGUACACAAUAGGCUAUUGUUGAAGAUGAGAUGGUCCUAGUGGGGUCUUCAAGAUCUUGGAACUGCGUGUUUCGAAGAGCUCUUAAUGACUUGGAAGUUGAACUUCAGGCCAUCAAUCUUGCAAACAGUGGUGCAGACAGAAUCAUUUGGUCCUCCUCAGCCCUCCGGGAGCUUCUCGGUACCCUCAUUCUGUUGUAGUCUUUCACAAGUUUCAACUACUUCUACAACACCUUCCACUUCAAUUUCUCAGGCUUGGGUCUCCAUACCCCCCCCCCCAAAAAGUCUAGAUUUUUAUGUUGCUAGCACUCUAUCAAAAAGUGCUAACAGAUAAUCAAAUAUAGCGCAGGGGCAUUCCACUCCCCAACCGAUGUCUCUUGUGUAUGGCUGCCGAAGAAACAAAUGGCCACCUACUAAAUUGUCCCUUUGCUCAUAAUCUCUGAGGGGGCAUUCUCCAACUUUUUGACAUUCAAUGGGUCACACUUGAGCAUGUCCCAUCCAUUCUAUCAUAUGUUCAGCCCUUUCCUUGGCGUCUAUCAUAUGUUCAGCCCUUUCCUUGGCUUUAACCUAGGUUUCUCCUUUGGAAAUCCACGGUGGCAGCUACCAUUUGGGCUCUAUUGAUCGAGAGAAACAAUAGAGUAUUUAGGGGUGAAUACUCCACGUGAAACAAAAUUUUCACUAAGCUAAAAUCCACAAUUGUCUUUUGGGCAACAAACCAACACGGUUUUAAAGGAGUCACCACUAUGGCUUUCUUUCAGGAUUGGUUUGCAAUCCUAAAACACAAUUGCAAAUGACCAGCUCAUGCUUCUUGUUGGAUUCCCCCAUUGCCAUACCAUUCAAACUGAACUUCGAUGGAUGCUCCCUUGGGAAUCCAGGUCCUUCGAAAGUGGGAGCCAUAGUAAGAGACUAUUUAGGUAACACAGUAGCUUCGUCUUCCAGUUACAUCGGGCACACCAAUUCGGUGGUAGCCGAGGCCCACGCCCUCUUGGAAGGACUAAAGCUACUUCAAACUCUAAGCCCACACGCAAUUGUGAUAGAGGGCGAUUCACAAAAUACUAUUAUGUGGGCCCAAAGAAUACCCUCUUCACCUCCAACCUGGACCCAAGCACACAUCUUUGAUCACAUUCAUUACUUGUGUAGGGGUAUGGACGUCUCAUGGAAGCAUACCUGGAGGGCAGGAAGCAGACGCCCUAGGUAAAGAAGCGGCUUUGCGAGAGGAAUUUUAGCAAUCUACGUGUUUCCCUAGCUGGGAAUUUUGGACCACUUUCUUUUAUUAGUUGCGGUUUGAACACUGUUACCAUCUUCUAGAAGGAUUUUGGUCUUCUUUUUUGGUUCUCUUUCCCUAGAGCACCCAACUCUGUGGUCUGCCUAGGUUUUUGUACUCUUCCUUUCACUCAAUUUAAGGCUAACUUUCUAAACAAACUUUCAACAUUAUGUUUUAUUGACGUUCCUUGUAAAGAUUUAUGAGAAAUUUAUCAAAACUCCCAUAAUAGAUUAACUAUUUAACAUUUUAACCUUUUGCAACUGUUCCAUGUCAUGAUCAUGUGGCUUUUGAUGGUAUUUUGUAAUUAAAUCAAAACACGUGCAAAAUAUAAAUAGUUUGCAUCUCAUGGUUACUUUGAUAAUUUUCCAAACAUUUACUGAUAAAAGAUCGAAUUGAUUAGUAGAUACAUGGUAUUAAAUGCAAUGACAUAUUUUGCUUGCAGGUGGCUCAGGUGGUAAAGGCAUAUGGGGAGGUUUAUUGGAGAUUGAUGAUGAUCAUGUCCUCGAUCGAAAUGAUCCAAACUAUAAUAGCAGUGAGGUAGUCACGAAAGCAUUCAUACCUCUCAUUUGCUACUGCAUUAAUUCGUGUAUGAUAGGCAUAGUAGUUGGUAGACAUUUUUAACUUCUAAAGUACCUGUCCUGUUGAUUUGUCUAUUGCAAGCAAAUGUUGCAGGUUAAAAGCAGGUUCAUGUCUGUUCAAUUUGUUUAAACUUCUUCACUUUAACAAAACCUUCCUUUUUUAUUUCAGGAAAAUAGCCAACCCAAUGGGAUUAAAAAACAUUCCCCUGCUUUCGAAGAGUUCAGAGCAAAAACCAGACUGAUUAUUGAGGAAUACUUCAUCACUGAUGAUAUUUCCUCGUCUGCCAAUGAACUAAGAGACCUCGGCCUUCCAUGCUAUCACUACUAUUUUGUCAAGAACCUCGUCUCCAUGGCUAUGGAUAGGCACAAUAGAGAGAAGGAAAUGGCAGCUCUCCUCUUAUCCUCUCUCUAUGCCGAUGUUAUUGAAGCACCCCAAGUUUAUCGAGGCUUUGGAAAACUAGUCAAAGCCACUGAUGACUUAGCAGUAGACAUACCUGAUGCUAUAGAUAUCCUCGCUCUCUUCAUUGCUCGAGCUGUUGUUGAUGAUAUUCUCCCUCCUGCCUUCUUGAACAAACAAGUUACCACUCUCCCGAAAGACUCGAAAGGAAUUCAAGUAAUAAAGAGAGCUGAGAAGAACUACUUAUCGGCCCCUCUUCAUGCUGAAGUUAUUGAAAGGAGGUGGGGAGGAAGCAAAAGCAAGACAGUAGAGGAUGCUAAGUCUAAAAUAAACGAUCUUCUUGUUGAGUACAUAGCAAGUGGUGAUAAGGUAGAGGCAUGUAGAUGCAUUAAAGACCUUAAAAUGCCAUUUUUCCAUCAUGAAAUUGUUAAAAGGGCUUUAAUCUUAGCGAUGGAAAGGAGAACAGCAGAGUGUGCUUUGCUAGAUUUAUUAAAGGAGGCCUCUGAAGAGGGAGUGAUAAACUCUAGUCAAGUAUUGAAAGGGUUUGAGCGGCUUAUCGAUACGGUAGAUGACUUAUCACUUGAUAUUCUUAGUGCAAGGGAUAUGCUUCAAUUACUUAUUUCCAAGGCAGCCUCAGAGGGGUGGCUCUGUGCAUCUUUGCUGAAGUCUCUCUCUCCUCGACCAAAUGGGUUUCUCGAAGAAGGCGAUGCAAGGGCCUUCAAGUCAAAGGCAAACUUGAUAAUUCAAGAGUAUUUCUUGUCAGGAGAUGUGGCCGAAGUGGCUGAGAGGCUCGAAUCCGAGAACCUCCUCUCCCCUUGCUUUAAGGUCAUAUUUGUAAAGAGGUUGAUUUCACUGGCAAUGGAUAGAAAGAAUAGAGAAAAGGAGAUGGCCUCAGUAUUAUUAUCUUCGCUAAAUUUUCCUUCAGACGAUGUGGUAAAUGGCUUUGUCAAUCUGAUUGAGGCGGCCGAGGACACCUCAUUGGACAUCCCAAUUGUGGUCGAGGAUUUGGCACUAUUUUUAGCGAGAGCAAUGGUAGACGAGGCCAUAGCUCCGCUAAAUUUAGAGGAGAUUGAGUCACAAGUGAAGCCCAACUCGAUUGGGUCUAAAGUUAUUCGAAUGACUCGAGCCAUGCUUGGGGCGCGGCUCUCAGGUGAGAGAAUAUUAAGGUGUUGGGGUGGAGAUGGUAGUGGAAGCAAUGGUCGAGAUAUAGAAGAAGUCAAGGGGAAAAUUGGGAAACUACUCGAGGAAUAUGAUUCGGGAGGAGGCGUAGGCGAGGCUUGUCGAUGCAUAAGAGAAGUAGGUAUGCCAUUUUUUCACCACGAAGUGGUGAAAAAGUCGUUGGUUAUGGCAAUGGAGAGGAAGAGUGAGAGACCAUUGAGGUUGCUUGAAGAGUGCUUUGCAGUGGGGUUGAUAUCGAGUUAUCAGAUGGCGAAGGGGUUUGCAAGAGUGGCUGAGGGCCUUGAGGAUUUGGCAUUGGAUGUGCCCGAUGUGGGCCAUGAGUUUGCGAGUUGCGUAGAGAGGGCCAAGGCUGCCGGGUGGUUGAACUAGUCAUUUGGGGUCGACCGUGACGACCCCAAUGGGCCUUGUGUCCCAGCAUAGAGAGAGCAGAGCAUGUUGCUGUGCCUAUGCAGCAACAGGCUUUGCUCAUGGGAGUUCAUGACCAAUUUCAUGGAUAUGGUUCUUAUUAGGUCUCUUAUCUUUUGCACUUUUUCUCUUUUUCUCCUCCUUGGGCCUUAGUUCUUUUCUAUUUUUAUUUAUUUAUUUUAACCACGAGGAGAAAACAAUCUCAAGGGUGAUGACACUGAUGAGCAAUGUACUAUUUAUAUCCACUUGGGCCAAAGUUUGGUGCUGUUCUUAUGAUUAAUUGCUCCCUAGAUGUUAAAUGGUGGGAGUCUUUUUGUUGUUUUUGGUGUAUUUUAUUGGGAUUAAUUUCAAUACUCUUGUAUUGAGAGAGUACAUGGGCCGAAAGCAGUUUAACUGGCUUAAUUGGUACACUACAGACUGAUUCAACUGUUCAACCUGACAAAUUCCGGAGGGUCAAAAAAUUGUUAAAAAAAUAAAAAGAUGUAAAUUCUAAUAAAAUAUAAAAACAUAUAAAAAAUGAUUAAAACAAAACACAUUCAAAUGAAAUUGAAAAUUAAUGAAAAAAAUAGAUUUUAAAAAUGAAUAUUAAUGAUCAAAAUAUUUACCAUAAUAUAAAAUAUAUUAAAAAAUAUAUUACAAAUCAAAUUCUUUAUUUUUUUUAAGCUCAACUUCUUUUAGAGAGCUCAAAUUCUUUUAGAGCUGUUGUGUGUAUGAGAGAGAACCACGGUAAUGAUGAGGUAGAGAGAGCAAUGUUUAAAAAAACUAUCUAAUGCUUGCCUAGGCGGCCUGAACCAAAAAUCUGCCAACCUAAAUUGGCACGGGCGGAGUACAUGGGCGGGCGCUACACGUGCGCCCGCCCGCCCACUCUGCGGGCCUAGAGAGCAGCUGCAUUAGACUGAAGACCUCAUCAAUUUUGAAAUCAUAUCAGGCAAAUAAGUGAGGCCAAUAGCAAUUGAUGUGAAUAACCAGGGGGUAAAAUAUCUUACCAGUUAGGCUAAUCACUCGUGAUAGAGAUUAAGGCUUUCACUUGUGAGCUAAGAAAAGCACAUGCAUUGCAUUGGCCUCAUAGCAUAUUUUCGUGAGAAAACGGUCUUAACAGAAGGCUUUUCAGAUUGCCCGCUUUUGCUGCUUCGUGAAUUUUUUUAGCACUCAUGAUCUCAGAAUUAUGAUCGACCAAACUGUUACCUUUCUCACCAUAGCUUCAUCAUCUGGGCUGAAGGUUUUGGAAUAUUUCAUUAGAAUUUGGGGUAUUCUGAUGAAGCAUUUAGGGUUUUGGGGGGGCCUUUGUGAUCACUGGUUAAAGACAUGGUUGAGGAGAAUGGCAGUAAGAAAAUUAACCCAAGUGAAAAAGUAGUCUUUGCAACGAGACCCAAACCCUGCCUCGAGAAAAAAAAAUUGCAAAACAAACGCUCUCGUACACCAAGUCAAAUAAAACCUCAAGAAAAAAAUUGCAAAUUUGUUUUUUUCCAUUUCUAAAAAAUUGUCUCUUUACAAAAACAACCCUAAUUUCCAAACUUCAAUAAAAAGCAGGUUUCUUAUUGAAAACUAGAAUACUAAGAAGCUUGAGUUAUCUUCAAAAAUUAGGGUGUUUGAAAUAGAAAACAACUGACCCAUUUGAAUCUUCAAAAAUUAGGGUGUGGGUGUUUGAAAUAGAAAACAACUGACCCAAUAGAAUAUAAAGAUAUUCAGAUCAGAACUCUGAAAUUUAAGAAGAAGAAUAUGAUGAUUUUUGAGAAAUUCGUACCUUUUCUGUUUCAAAUAGGAACGGUGAGAGAGAAAUGCGAGUAUAGCUGGCAGAAAAUUUGGGGGUUUCCAUGCUUUUCUUUCCCUCUAUAACCGUUGAAAAGACAUGACAGAGACGCGUCAGUUAGGGUUUUUCUUCUCUCCCCUUUCAGCCUUCUGGAGCAAGUCUUAGAAGCCCAAUUUUAGGAUGCAAUAUCAGCCUUUUCUCAGCACAAAUUUCAUUGAUGUAUAUACUCAUGCCAAUGUUUUGAAAUUCGGAUGAUCAGUCCCUACUUGAAUUGAUAGAAAUCCCCAAUAUAGUCACAUUUAACUGAUUCAUAGGCGUGAAAAAUCCACAUUAAAUUGAAAAAAAAAUUAUCAAA